rnacentral:lncRNA from 1 species
GAGUCUGUGACAUAUAUAGUCAGUGACACAUGUGGACGUUCGCUGGUAGCUGCGUCUGCUGCAUUUCACAGAAGGGGACUGAGUCUGAGAUUUUCUUUUUAAGUUUAUACUUUAUAUUACUGGUCAUUUUAAGUAUCUGUGAAUAGGUGCAGUGCACUUCAAAUGUAACCAAUAUUAAUAAAAAAUUUGAACAUAACUGAAACAGAAAACAUUCUAUGAAUGGUUUUUUAACCUUUUGAAAAUUAAGUCCAUGUAUAAGAAACACAACCAUAAAAUUCAGCAUUUAGAAUGUGUUCUUCUAUCUACUAAACUUAGAUUAGCCAUUUAAAGCACAUUCAUUUAGAAAACCAUGGUCGGGGACAU